AUCUUAAAUUAAAACACGAAAUAUGACAAUCUAUGGUUCCAAGUCACAGUUCAAUUCAAAUCGCUAGUGGUCGUCUCUUUUUGAGUUGAGUCCGAAGUUGUUACUCGCCUCUGCGAUCAAACGGCAUCAGGUUUGUUUUGGUUGCCAUGCGAAUUAUUUCCAAACCAACUUCCUGUUGAAUGGUGUUUGCGAAUUGGCUCACAAUUUCUUAAAGGGUUAAAAGGAGGUAAUGUCCAGCUUUAUUCACAAGUUCCGUAAUCCAAUAGCUGUUUGCUCUUAAUUUGCUGUUGAAUGGUGUUUGCGAAUCGGCUGAGAAUUUAUUGGAGGGUUGAAAGUGAAAAGGUUGGU